rnacentral:rRNA from 1 species
UUUAUUGGAACUGGAUGAAAGGCUCAACAAACACAUAAUUUUUUAUUUUUAGAUGUUAUAAUUUUUAAUUUACGUAAAAAUACGUAAAUGAAUUUAAGGGACGAUAAGACCCUAAAAGCUUUAUUAUUUAAAUUUUUGUUAUUAUUUAGAUUUUAUUGUUUAAUGUAUUUUAACUGGGGCGGUUGUUUUUUUAACAAAAAUUUUUUUUUACAAAUAGGAUUAAAGAUCCUUAAAAUUAGGAUAGAUUGUUUAAGUUACUUUAGGGAUAACAGCGUUAUAAUAAUAGGGAGACCUUAUUUAUAUUGUUGAUUGCGACCUCGAUGUUGAAUUAAAUUUUUCUAUAUAAAGCAGAAAUUAUAUAUGAAAGUUUGUUCAACUUUUAAAUUUUUACAUGAUCUGAGUUCAAA